AUGUCCAGGACCGCCCACGAUAGCCAUCGCCCACUCCAAGGGACGGCCUUGCGACGGUCCAGACCUGCCUCACCAAGACGAACUCCCCUGCCAGCACCACCAGAAGCGCAGCGCCGCUCGCCACACAGCACAGGACUGACCGGCCACUUGCUGCUCGCCAGAACUCCAUUCUGGCCAAGCCGUAACAGCACCGUCACCCACCUGCUCGUAAGCUCACGCCGCUGCCUCCAGACAGCGCCGCCUCCACCAAUUCGGACCACCGCACCGCUGCUGAACCCCACCAGAUCCGCCGCUUUGCCACGCCUCUUGCCAAGCACUAGCCGCCUCCCUCGCACCCGGCCUGCUCGGAUCUGGCACGACCCGAUCCCGCCAUGA
rnacentral:rRNA from 1 species